GCCUGGUUAGCUCAGUCGGUAGAGCGUGUGGCUUUUAAGUAGCUUUCUUUGAAGAUUCAAAUGAGGGUGAAAAAUGAGACCUCAAAGUCACGGGUUCGAGCCCCGUAUCAGGCU